CCUACGGGGGGCAGCAGUGGGGAAUAUUGCACAAUGGGGGAAACCCUGAUGCAGCGACGCCGCGUGAGCGAUGAAGUAUUUCGGUAUGUAAAGCUCUAUCAGCAGGGAAGAAAAUGACGGUACCUGACUAAGAAGCCCCGGCUAACUACGUGCCAGCAGCCGCGGUAAUACGUAGGGGGCAAGCGUUAUCCGGAUUUACUGGGUGUAAAGGGAGCGUAGACGGCUGUGCAAGCCAGAUGUGAAAGCCCGGGGCUCAACCCCGGGACUGCAUUGGAAACUGUUAGGCUGGAGUGUCGGAGAGGUAAGCGGAAUUCCUAGUGUAGCGGUGAAAUGCGUAGAUAUUAGGAGGAACACCAGUGGCGAAGGCGGCUUACUGGACGACAACUGACGCUGAGGCUCGAAAGCGUGGGGAGCAAACAGGAUUAGAUACCCCAGUAGUC
rnacentral:rRNA from 1 species